ACGUGAAAGGAAGAUAAAUAUCGUUCCAAGCAAUAAUUAAAUAAAUAAGUUGGUUAAUGAACGAUAUUCAUUUCUUUGAUGAAAAGUCAUCGCAGAAAUUGCAUUCUUGGCAAGAGAGAGGGCGCGGCUCGUUUGCAGCCACACUCGAAGCACAAUGAGCGUCGUGGAUAGAGGAGGAAGAACUCGAAAAAAAUGAGAGAGAAAGAGAGAGAGAGAGAGAGAGAGAGAGAGAGAAAAGAAACUUUCAGCGUCGAGUUAAGAGAUUAUUAUAAAUUCUCUCGUUUAAUUGAAAGCUGUUAAAUGCUCGAGGAUAUUUUUUUUCCUCCCUUUUUCUUCUUCUUCUUUCUCUUCCUCGAUUUCGUGUUCGUUAACGUAACCACAGCGGGGAAAUUAAUUUUUCCUUGGCGAGGGAGAAAAAAAAAAAAGGAU